GAACGAUGGGGGGGAAGCAAGUGUGGAAAGAAAAGGGCUCGGAAAGAGAGAUGCCAGUAAUUGUAAUAUCCUGAGAUUCGCCGAGCCCCGAAGUCUCUCCAUUGAAGGCCCCUCACAGGAUUUGCCGCCGCCUCUCCGCAGGAAACAUACAAUCUGAUCAAGUUCAGAAGCGCGUUGAGAAGAAGGAGAAGAAGAAGAAGAAGGGAAGGGGGGAGUGCUUCAAACAGCGCUUUUAUAAAAUACAGUCCCCUUUUCACGUCCUCCCCCCACACCCAACACCAACCCUCAGAAAGGGGGGGGGAGACUUCACAUUCUUUAUUUUAGGGGUCUGGCUAAAAGGAGACAGAAUGAGCGACCUGAAGACAGACUCAGACAGGAGGGAUUGUUUUUCUACAUAUAUAUUGUUUUUCUACACACAUACAUACAUACACCCACCCACCUAUAAAACUUAGUCACUGGAGUUCACAUCCUACCAAUCCCCAAAGCCCCCCUCCCUCCAGAGCAGCCCAGGAAGAAACAAGGACCAGAAAAGAGGAACAGAUGGAAGGCAUUGUCUCACAAGGAUGCUAGUGUUUUCUGGAUUAUUUCUCCAUGCCAGCUCAGAGUUAUCUGCACUGACUGGCAGCAACUACCCAGGGCUUCGGACAGUAGACUUCUCAACCAUACCUGGAGAUACUGUGAGUUCAGCCUGGAACCUCCUGCAUGCAACCUAUGCAGUCUACUGCAGAGCUAUGUCCCACUCCCAAUUUCUUCAUCAAGAUUUCUGAUUUAUGGUUUCUAAGGUCUUUGGUGUUGACUAACGAUGGCUGCCAUGUCUUGUUUUCAUCUUGCAAGAUUUCCAGAUAUUGGCCUGGAUAGAGUUACCCCCAAUAAAUGAUAGAUUUCAUCUGGGGAAAUUCUACCUCUGGCACCAUACCCUAAAGAAUAUCAUUUUCUGCAAUUGCCUCUGUACUAUGGAAUGCCCUCCUUCCCUCUGCCAUAUGUGUAGCAGGCAUCCAUCAUUUGCUUUGGACAUCUUGUAAAGAGAUAUCUUUUUUGCCCAGGCUUUCUCUGAUCCUGUUUUUAUCUGUCUGGAUUCCCCGAAUUCCUGUUUUUAUUUGCUUUUGUAUGCUUUAUGCUACUGUUUUACUGGUUUUAUAUUGCAUUUCUGUUUUAAUGAUAUGGUUUAUUGUCUUAUGUUGUAAACCACAUGGAGAUUUCUUAAAAUAUUAAGUGGUUUUACAAAUGCUUUUAAAUAAAUUAGAUGGAGCGAUGAUACAUAGACAUUUAGGGAGUUAGUUGUUUCCUUGCGGUUUAAUGGUAACUUUUUAUGUUGUUUUAUAAUAGCGGUUCAUUGAACUGCUUUCUUGCGCAUUGCCUGGAGCAGCUGAAUUUGCCUUAUGUUUAUCUACAAAUAAAUGAUUUUGCUAAAUAAAAUUGCAAAGCACCCUCGCAAGGGCAGAUUCUGCUGACCUCCACCCAGCUGUAUUCUCUGCAGUGGAGAGGACAGUUUGUUUUUCUAUGAUAUGAAAACUGAGAAUCAUGAGCAGCCAAUCACACAUCUACGACUGCAAUGGGAAGAACACAAAACAGAGCCUGCAAAACUUUGAAAGGGCGGUUUAAGGUGCUUUUGGUCAUCCAGACAAAGAUGACCCACUGCGCUUCCUUGCUCAAAGCCAGAGCUUCUGUUAAUACUAUUAGAGCCAAAGUUUCGGAUUUCAGAUGAGGCAUGUUGGCAAUUACAGAUGCCCUUGAGAAUGUGGGUCAAGUAUUCAGGGCUCCAGUUUCAUGGUCAAGGGGAUCACAAGAGACAGAGACCUAAGAAGAACAGGAAGAUCUCUUCAAUGACCAAAUAUCUACACAGAGGGCAAGGAAAACGAUGAUGGAGGAGAAACAACAUAUUUAAACUUGGCUUCUGGUCUGGCAAAUGGGACACAUCUCUAUUAAACAAGAUUACACACAACUUGCUGGACCAGGCCAAGGUGGGUGGGUGCAGACCAGCUAUGACAUGUUCCUGGUCUAAGCCAUCUUGGUGGGAUUUAUCUCCUGGGAGGUGGGAUGUGGAGGAUUGUACUGAAUACAUAAAUGAACAGAGCUUGCUUCCCACAGUAGCCAACCAAAUUCCUCUGUGAUGCUUUCAAGCAGGGCAGUGGAAUGUAUGAAUCAGUUGAUUUCAGUUUCUCCCUGUUUUCAUGCUUUCCCACCUUAACUUUGUAAUAAGAAUUGUAAGGUCUUAUAUAUAUAAUAAAUGUUCAUAAAUGUACCAAGCAAACAUGUACAUAAAUAUAUAAACCACAUUUCUGAAGAAGCACAGGAAAACAGGCAUUAUCAGAUAACCUGGCAGACAGGAAAAACAACAACAUUCAAAUUUCUGUUGUAGACCGCCU